rnacentral:snRNA from 1 species
GUGACUGACUCUGGUCAGCUGGCUGCAACAUCUGUCUAGUGCUUGAUUGCUAGUGUUGAUUCAAUUGAUCUGGCUUGCUAGGCAGGUAUCCCUUUCCUCCUUCAGUGCUCCAUGUGCAUCCUUCUUAAAACUGCAUGCUUAGUCAAAGAUGACAACCUUCUCUGAAAGUGAGGGACCAAUCCUUUUUUAAAAAAAAUAUUU